rnacentral:tRNA from 1 species
GGGCCCAUAGCUCAACGGUCAGAGCUGCCGGCUCAUAACCGGCUGGUUCCUGGUUCGAAUCCAGGUGGGCCCACCA